AGAGUGAACGCUGGCGGUAGGCCUAACACAUGCAAGUCGAACGGCAGCACAGUGGUAGCAAUACCAUGGGUGGCGAGUGGCGGACGGGUGAGGAAUACAUCGGAAUCUACCUUUUCGUGGGGGAUAACGUAGGGAAACUUACGCUAAUACCGCAUACGCCCUUCGGGGGAAAGCCGGGGAUCGCAAGACCUGGCGCGGAUAGAUGAGCCGAUGUCGGAUUAGCUAGUUGGUGAGGUAAUGGCUCACCAAGGCGACGAUCCGUAGCUGGUCUGAGAGGAUGAUCAGCCACACUGGAACUGAGACACGGUCCAGACUCCUACGGGAGGCAGCAGUGGGAAUAUUGGACAAGUGGGCGCAAGCCUGAUCCGAGCCAUACCGCGUGGGUGAAGAAGGCCUUCGGUUGUAAAGCCCUUUUAGGUGGUAAAGAAAAGCAAUCGGUUAAUACCCGGUUAGUUCUGACGUACCCAAAG
rnacentral:rRNA from 1 species